GGGGCUGCAUUGGUUUCGACGCGGGUUCGGACGCGGUGUGGUGCAUGUCGAGCUGAGUGUGCUCGUAAAACUGAUUCAAACAAACUAACUGCAAACGACGAACGUUUCGCACUCGCUGCUUAAUUGCCAGUGAGCUUUACAACAGCAGGCCGAUGGGCUGGGC
rnacentral:tmRNA from 1 species